rnacentral:rRNA from 1 species
GGACGGGUGAGUAACACGUGGGAACGUGCCUUUAGGUUCGGAAUAACUCAGGGAAACUUGUGCUAAUACCGAAUGUGCCCUUCGGGGGAAAGAUUUAUCGCCUUUAGAGCGGCCCGCGUCUGAUUAGCUAGUUGGUGAGGUAAAGGCUCACCAAGGCGACGAUCAGUAGCUGGUCUGAGAGGAUGAUCAGCCACAUUGGGACUGAGACACGGCCCAAACUCCUACGGGAGGCAGCAGUGGGGAAUCUUGCGCAAUGGGCGAAAGCCUGACGCAGCCAUGCCGCGUGAAUGAUGAAGGUCUUAGGAUUGUAAAAUUCUUUCACCGGGGACGAUAAUGACGGUACCCGGAGAAGAAGCCCCGGCUAACUUCGUGCCAGCAGCCGCGGUAAUACGAAGGGGGCUAGCGUUGCUCGGAAUUACUGGGCGUAAAGGGAGCGUAGGCGGACAUUUAAGUCAGGGGUGAAAUCCCGGGGCUCAACCUCGGAAUUGCCUUUGAUACUGGGUGUCUUGAGUAUGAGAGAGGUGUGUGGAACUCCGAGUGUAGAGGUGA